CCGGUGAGCGAAGAAGGCCUUCGGGUCGUAAAGCUCUGUUGUUAGGGAAGAACAAGUACGAGAGUAACUGCUCGUACCUUGACGGUACCUAACCAGAAAGCCACGGCUAACUACGUGCCAGCAGCCGCGGUAAUACGUAGGUGGCAAGCGUUGUCCGGAAUUAUUGGGCGUAAAGCGCGCGCAGGCGGUCCUUUAAGUCUGAUGUGAAAGCCCACGGCUCAACCGUGGAGGGUCAUUGGAAACUGGGGGACUUGAGUGCAGAAGAGGAGAGUGGAAUUCCACGUGUAGCGGUGAAAUGCGUAGAGAUGUGGAGGAACACCAGUGGCGAAGGCGACUCUCUGGUCUGUAACUGACGCUGAGGCGCGAAAGCGUGGGGAGCAAACAGGAUUAGAUACCCUGGUAGUCCACGCCGUAAACGAUGAGUGCUAAGUGUUAGAGGGUUUCCGCCCUUUAGUGCUGCAGCUAACGCAUUAAGCACUCCGCCUGGGGAGUACGGCCGCAAGGCUG
rnacentral:rRNA from 1 species